AGUAACACGUGGGUAACCUGCCUUAUGAGGGGGAGUAACAGAGAGAAAUCACUGCUAAUACCGCAUAAGCACACAGUACCGCAUGGUACAGGGUGAAAAGAUUUAUCACCAUAAGAUGGACCCGCGUCUGAUUAGCCAGUUGGCAGGGUAAAAGCCUACCAAAGCGACGAUCAGUAGCCGAUCUGAGAGGAUGACCGGCCACAUUGGGACUGAGACACGGCCCAA
rnacentral:rRNA from 1 species